AGUGAACGCUGGCGGUAGGCCUAACACAUGCAAGUCGAACGGCAGCCCAUUAAGAGCUUGCUCUUACGGGUGGCGAGUGGCGGACGGGUGAGGAAUACAUCGGAAUCUACUUUUUCGUGGGGGAUAACGUAGGGAAACUUACGCUAAUACCGCAUACGACCUACGGGUGAAAGCAGGGGAUCUUCGGACCUUGCGCGAUUGAAUGAGCCGAUGUCGGAUUAGCUAGUUGGCGGGGUAAAGGCCCACCAAGGCGACGAUCCGUAGCUGGUCUGAGAGGAUGAUCAGCCACACUGGAACUGAGACACGGUCCAGACUCCUACGGGAGGCAGCAGUGGGGAAUAUUGGACAAUGGGCGCAAGCCUGAUCCAGCCAUACCGCGUGGGUGAAGAAGGCCUUCGGGUUGUAAAGCCCUUUUGUUGGGAAAGAAAAGCAGCAGGUUAAUACCCCGCUGUUCUGACGGUACCCAAAGAAUAAGCACCGGCUAACUUCGUG
rnacentral:rRNA from 1 species